UACGAAGGGGGCUAGCGUUGCUCGGAAUCACUGGGCGUAAAGCGCACGUAGGCGGAUUGCUAAGUCAGGGGUGAAAUCCUGGAGCUCAACUCCAGAACUGCCUUUGAUACUGGCGAUCUCGAGUCCGGGAGAGGUGAGUGGAACUGCGAGUGUAGAGGUGAAAUUCGUAGAUAUUCGCAAGAACACCAGUGGCGAAGGCGGCUCACUGGCCCGGUACUGACGCUGAGGUGCGAAAGCGUGGGGAGCGAACAGG
rnacentral:rRNA from 1 species